rnacentral:ncRNA from 2 species
AAUCCCAACCUGCUUUAAGGUUCCGUACGGUUUCACCACCUGAGGAUUAAACGGGAAGUCGGUAAGGCGAAUGAUGCCAAAGCCGACGCUGCCCCCGCAACGGUAUAUUUAGUAAAGAAUCAUCUUGUGCCACUGUGUAUUUGCAUGGGAAGGUGAUGAUUCAGGCAAAGCCCCCAAAGGUUUCGCCACUGAUAAGCCCGGAGACCUGCCUUUAAGCCUAUUCGGUA